UACAGAGGUCCCGAGCGUUGUUCGGAUUCAUUGGGCGUAAAGGGUGCGUAGGCGGCGGGGCAAGUCUGAUGUGAAAUCCCGGGGCUCAACCCCGGAACUGCAUUGGAUACUGCCUUGCUUGAGUACUGGAGAGGGAACUGGAAUUUACGGUGUAGCAGUGAAAUGCGUAGAUAUCGUAAGGAAGACCAGUGGCGAAGGCGGAUCUCUGGACAGUUACUGACACUGAGGCACGAAGGCCAGGGGAGCAAACGGG
rnacentral:rRNA from 1 species